GGAUGCUCCGGUUGGAUGCAUGUCCUUCCGGGAAAGGUUCCAUCGGUAUGGGAUGGGGUCGCGUCCUAUCAGCUUGAUGGCGGGGUAACGGCCCACCAUGGCUUCGACGGGUAGCCGGCCUGAGAGGGCGACCGGCCACAUUGGGACUGAGAUACGGCCCAGACUCCUACGGGAGGCAGCAGUGGGGAAUAUUGCACAAUGGGCGCAAGCCUGAUGCAGCGACGCCGCGUGCGGGAUGGAGGCCUUCGGGUUGUAAACCGCUUUUGAUCGGGAGCAAGCCCUUCGGGGUGAGUGUACCUUUCGAAUAAGCACCGGCUAACUACGUGCCAGCAGCCGCGGUAAUACGUAGGGUGCAAGCGUUAUCCGGAAUUAUUGGGCGUAAAGGGCUCGUAGGCGGUUCGUCGCGUCCGGUGUGAAAGCCCAUCGCUUAACGGUGGGUCUGCGCCGGGUACGGGCGGGCUGGAGUGCGGUAGGGGAGACUGGAAUUCCCGGUGUAACGGUGGAAUGUGUAGAUAUCGGGAAGAACACCA
rnacentral:rRNA from 1 species